GAGCAUACUAAUCAAGGCCUGUCGACUUCCUUAGAAAGACAUGACGCUUCAUAAUUGCGCAUGUGUGGUCUGACCUUCUGGAAAUAGAUACCAGUUAUUAAUAUAAAAAUAUUUUGUUACAGCAACAUUGCUCCUAUCUAACUUUGUCUAUUCAACUUUGGGAACAAAUAAAAUCAUUUUUAUCAAAUAUUUUGAUUUAUGUCACACUACCAUAUGUAAAUUAUUAUUAUUUUAUAUAAAUUAUUACCUAUUUCAGUUUGUCUUAGUCUAUGUUCAUAAAAUCUAUGGAGGUCAGAGGCACAUAUACCCUCCAUAAAGCCUUGCACUUGGGUCUGGCCGGUUAGAACAUAGACAAAAGUCUGCAAUGUCAAUGCUGUCAAAGUCAUUGACGCAAAACUAUUUUUAUUUUCAAAACUAUCAGUUUUCAUAUAAAAUGAUUAAAUAAUGAUUUAUGUUGUUGAAAUAGAUUUAUUGAUUAAUUUUUAAAAUUAAAAAUCCACCGCACAGUAUCUCCGCUCAGACUCGGUUAAAAUUUAAUCCAUUGUACUAAACUAAGAAACAACAAUUAUUUCAAGAGGGUGAACGUGAGCAAAAAAUCCUUGGGCGUCAUAUCAUUUCCUUGGAAAGGCUCAAAAUCAAAAGGCACGGAUCCGCCACAUAAUUGUGACUAGUUGUAGUUUCCCGGUGACCAUCAACAAGACCGCUGCACUGAGCUGUGGAGCAGAAAGUGUCCGACAAUCGGAUAGAUGUAAUAACAACUUUGUCUGUCAUAUAUUCAUGUAAUUUUUAGUUUUUUGGGCUGAUAUAUGUGAUAUGAUUACAAGUUACACUAAUUGCAAUUGUGGAGUAAAAUCAGAUGUGCCAAAGAUCAUGUUUUAGAUAUAUAAAAAGCUAUAUUAAAUGCAAAAAAUUUUGACGACCAGUCUGGCCUAGUGGGUAGUGACCCUGCCUAUGAAGCUGAUGGUCCCGGGUUCAAAUCCUGGUAAGGGCAUUUAUUCGUGUGAUGAGCAUGGAUAUUUGUUCCUGAGUCAUGGGUGUUUUCUAUGUAUUUAAGUAUUUAUAAAUAUUUACAUAUUAUAUCUAUCGUUGUCUAAGUACCCUCAACACAAGCCUUAUUGAGCUUACUGUGGGACUUAGUCAAUUUGUGUAAUAAUGUCCUAUAAUAUUUAUUU